GUGUCAGCCGCCGCGGUAAUACGGAGGAUGCAAGCGUUAUCCGGAAUCAUUGGGCGUAAAGCGUCCGCAGGUGGCACUUCAAGUCUGCUGUCAAAGGUCGGGGCUUAACUCCGAACAGGCAGUGGAAACUGAAGUGCUCGAGUGCGGUAGGGGCAGAGGGAAUUCCUGGUGUAGCGGUGAAAUGCGUAGAGAUCAGGAAGAACACCGGUGGCGAAAGCGCUCUGCUAGGCCGCAACUGACACUCAGGGACGAAAGCUAGGGGAGCGAAUGGGAUUAGAUACCCCAGUAGUCCUAGCUGUAAACGAUGGAUACUAGGCGUUGCUUGUAUCGACCCAAGCAGUGCCGUAGCUAACGCGUUAAGUAUCCCGCCUGGGGAGUACGCACGCAAGUGUGAAACUUAAAUGAAUUGACGGGG
rnacentral:rRNA from 1 species